UUCAAUACAAUGACGAGACGAGUAGGAUGUGGAAGAAGACAGAGAAGGGAGUCGCAGGCUGGAAGCUCCCGCUUACGGAAACAUUUGAAAACUACCUCUGAGUGGCUGAAAACAGCCCGGUGAUCCCGUUAUCAUCACAAAUGAGUGGUUUCGGUAUUUAAUACCGGUUCAAACAGGGUGGAACCGCGAGUAUGAUCUCGCCCCUUUU
rnacentral:ncRNA from 1 species